CAAGUUGGAAGGUUGUAGUUUUGCGUGAUAUGUAAUGUGUAAUAUGUCAGUGCUGACGACGUGAAUUUUUAAUUAUUUUUAAACAAGGUGAAGACAAGAAAUUAAAAUAUGUUUAGAAUUUUCCAAAUCUGGUAUAGUAAAAAAAUGUUUAAAAUUGGCGCUUGAGAUGCUUCAACAUAAUUACAUGUAUUGCCACUGGAAUACAGAAAAUCCAUACAUUAUGUGGGUCAAACAAUAUCACAGAGUCUCAUCACCACCCAACCGAUUCCAGUAGUACACAAUCCAAAUUAAUUUCUGUGACCAGAGAUUAAAAGGACCUUAAGCGAAAAGUUUUAUUGUCAUUAACAAAUAGCAUUAAACUGAUUUCUUCUUUACAACGCAAAUCGUGGUUCAUUAAUUAAUCAUCAACGGAGGCUGUUUAUUUAGUCAGAUGAAAUGGACAAAUCCGGUGAUGAAUGCGAGAUACUUACAUUGAGUUCCAGGGGACUUAAUAGUAAAAUAUUUUUGGGAUAUGGUCUAGUCAAAGAGUUACACAAAAAAUGUACGUCGUGAAUUCAUCGAAAUAAAUGAAAUUAUAAAUGCGUAUACUGAAGUGUCAGUUCGACCAAAUUUCAUCUUGAGAUGUUUCAAUCUUUCAGCAAAAGAUAACACGUAAGACGUUUACUUGAUCAGAUAACGUCUCAAAUGCGUAAAGCUUUCAUAUUGAAACUCCAACUGACGAAUAACAAAAUAAUACUGGAGAUGAGCAAAUAUUUUUAAUAUUAUGAAUACUACAUUUGGUGAACCGAUAUCCUGGAUUAAAAAUAUAUUUCAUAACACUUUGGACUGAAUGUGAGCAGAAGUUAGGAAGUUUUGAUUAUAUA